rnacentral:lncRNA from 1 species
GAAAAGGCAAAGAAGUCGUACCCGACGAGUAGUGAUCGGGGCGCUUAGAAAGCUUUUAGUUUGUACAAACGGUGAGUAAACUUAUUAUUAUUGUAAAUUAUCUAGAGUUUAUUUUUAAAUGCCCUUUAUGUAUUUUAUGAAAUGAGAACGAGAUUAAAACGGGAUUUUUGAUGUUUUAGGAAUAAAUGUGAUAAAUAAAAAUAUAUUGUAUUGAUUAUGAAAUUGAGUAAUUGGAGGCUGCAAAUUGACUUGAAAAAUAUAUAUUUUCCUAGGAAUGGCUUAUGAGAAAUGAGUAUAUGUGGCUAUAUUUUGUGAGUGCAUUUGGGAAAUUUAUGUAAGUUGAUUUUACUAUGCAGGCUGGAUAAAUAAAUAAAAGCCACGUUAUACUGUCGAAAUUUUAUUAAAAUUGGUGGGUUAGUCACUGCAGUGACGGGUUUCCGUGGACUGCCUAUUAGAGGGGCACGGUAAACCCAGUUAUAUAGUUACUCCGGUUGUAGAGGCGAGGAGGGUAACUCCCGGGGUAGUAUUAGAGCUCACUUCACGUCGAACCCCCACGUGAAUGUGUAACUCGGCCAACGCCAAGGAACGGCUGGUUUUAAAAAUAAAAAUGUGUUUCACGUGUGAAUAUUUUAACACCCUUGGCGGACUCGGUUAGAUGCCUCGGCCAAGGUAUCCCCGAGGAUUAGUUUUGGCUUGAGCCUUGUUUUAAUAAAAGACAUAAGCCUUAACAACUAUUUUGGUAAAUUACAAAUAUUUUAUGGUUUAAGAAAUAAAUUGAAAACAUUAUGAAAUGGGUUGAAAUUUGUUGUUUAAACUUGCCUCCAUUUUACUCGCCUUUAGAUAUUUAUGAUAAUGUCUGUUUACUCAUUGGG